rnacentral:lncRNA from 1 species
GUCUUCUCCCCAGCCCUACCUGGUGCAUUUUUUCAAGAAAAGUCGCCCAGCUCACCCCCAACCCACAGCUCUUCAUCCAGGAGGUAGACCAACCCAAGCCACAGGCUCCAGCAGCCUUCAAGGCUCCAGCCCCCAUCCCAGGCCACGCCCCUACCCUUCUCUCCACCAAUGCCAGGCCUGCCCAUCUCAUCACUGACAGUGGCUAGCCAAUCAAGUUUACUCAGCUGGGAGGAGGAUGACAUCAAUGAUGUUGACUCCAUGGAUAGGCUCAACCUGAGUGAGGAGAACGCCCUUAUCCUAACAACCAACUCUGGGCAGGUGGACUCUGUAGAGCGGUCCUGUCGGGGUCGAACCCUUCCUGUCCUCAGCCCCGCUGCUCACACACAUCAUCCACACCGCUGCAACACAGAGAAGCCAACCUCACUGCCCUGGUUGCCAUUGGACCUCGCAGGACGGGACCACUUGACUCCCCUGGAAACCAGGUGUGGCCAGCAGACAGUAUGUCAGUACUACAGAG